rnacentral:rRNA from 1 species
CAAUAGCGUAUAUUAAAGUUGUUGCAGUUAAAAAGCUCGUAGUUGGAUUUCUGGUAGGAGCGACCGUGCCGAACUUGAUUGUUCGAGUAUUGUGUUGUCUUCAGCCAUCCUCGUGGAGAACUUUUCUAACAUUAACUUGUUGGGAUUGGGACCCGCGUCGUUUACUGUGAAAAAAUUAGAGUGUUUAAAGCAGGCAUUAGCUUGAAUACAUUAGCAUGGAAUAAUAAGAUAGGACUUUGGUACUAUUUUGUUGGUUUGCAUACCAAAUUAAUGAUCAACAGGAACGGUUUGAGGAUAUUCGUAUGAACAUGUCAGAGGUGAAAUUCUUGGAUUUUGAUCAGACGAACUACUGCGAAAGCAUUUAUCAAGGAUGUUUUCAUUAA